rnacentral:SRP_RNA from 13 species
CGCUCGUAUGCACUCAGAGUGUGCACACCCGGGGAUCGGGGGAUCGGCUCGGGCUGGCAACGGAGCAAGACAAGUGCACU